rnacentral:rRNA from 1 species
UCCACGCCCUAAACGAUGUCAACUAGGUGUAUGGAAGUUUAUCUUCUGUGUAUCGAAGCUAACGCGAUAAGUUGACCGCCUGGGGAGUACGGCCGCAAGGCUAAAACUCAAAUGAAUUGACGGGGGCCCGCACAAGCGGUGGAGCAUGUGGUUUAAUUCGAUGCAACGCGAAGAACCUUACCAGGUCUUGACAUGUACGGAAGGUUGAAGAGAUUCGACUGUGCC